rnacentral:rRNA from 1 species
AGUGAACGCUGGCGGUAGGCCUAACACAUGCAAGUCGAACGGCAGCACAGUAAGAGCUUGCUCUUACGGGUGGCGAGUGGCGGACGGGUGAGGAAUACAUCGGAAUCUACUUUUUCGUGGGGGAUAACGUAGGGAAACUUACGCUAAUACCGCAUACGACCUACGGGUGAAAGCAGGGGAUCUUCGGACCUUGCGCGAUUGAAUGAGCCGAUGUCGGAUUAGCUAGUUGGCGGGGUAAAGGCCCACCAAGGCGACGAUCCGUAGCUGGUCUGAGAGGAUGAUCAGCCACACUGGAACUGGGACACGGUCCAGACUCCUACGGGAGGCAGCAGUGGGGAAUAUUGGGCAAUGGGCGAAAGCCUGAUCCAGCCAUACCGCGUGGGUGAAGAAGGCCUUCGGGUUGUAAAACCCUUUUUUUGGGGAAGAAAAACAGCAGGUUUAACCCCCCCCGUUUUGACGGUACCCAAACAAAAAGCACCGGCUAACUUCGUG